rnacentral:rRNA from 1 species
UACGUAGGUGGCAAGCGUUGUCCGGAUUUAUUGGGUUUAAAGGGUGCGUAGGCGGCUUUGUAAGUCAGUGGUGAAAUAUGGCAGCUUAACUGUCAGGGUGCCAUUGAUACUGCAGAGCUUGAGUACAGAUGAGGUAGGCGGAAUUGACGGUGUAGCGGUGAAAUGCUUAGAUAUCGUCAAGAACACCUAUAGCGAAGGCAGCUUACUAGGCUGUAACUGACGCUGAGGCACGAAAGCGUGGGGAGCAAACAGG